rnacentral:misc_RNA from 1 species
UUUCCGCAGGUGAACCUGCGGAAGGAUCAUUAUUGUAUAACCGAGGUGCGAGGGCUGUCGCUGACCCGAAAGGUCGUGCACGCCCGAGUGCCCUCACACACAUCCAUCUCACCCCUAUGUGCAUCACCGCGUGGGUCCCCCUUUGGCUUGUUCGGAGGGGGGCUUACGUUUUCACACAAACUUUGUAUGCAGUGUAGAAUGUAUUUUUUGUUUUUGCGAUCACGCAAUCAAUACAACUUUCAACAACGGAUCUCUUGGCUCUC